UACGGGGGGUGCGAGCGUUAAUCGGAAUAACUGGGCGUAAAGGGCGCGCAGGCGGUCUUUUAAGUGAGGUGUGAAAUCCCCGGGCUUAACCUGGGAAUUGCAUUUGAUACUGGGAGGCUAGAGUACGGUAGGGAGGGGUAGAAUUCCACGUGUAGCGGUGAAAUGCGUAGAGAUGUGGAGGAAUACCGAAGGCGAAGGCAGUCCCUUGGGAAUGUACUGACGCUCAUGUGCGAAAGCGUGGGGAGCAAACAGG
rnacentral:rRNA from 1 species